rnacentral:rRNA from 1 species
CCCUUAGAUGUUCUGGGCCGCACACGCGCUACACUGAAGGAGGCAGCGUGUACUCCUGGAUCGAAAGAUUUGGGUAACCCGCGAAUCUCCUUCGUGCUAGGGAUUGAGGUUUGCAAUUAUCCUUCAUGAACGAGGAAUUCCCAGUAAGUGCAAGUCAUAAGCUUGCGCUGACUACAUCCCUGCCCUUUGUACACACCGCCCGUCGCUACUACCGAUUGAAUGAUUUAGUGAGGACUUCGGACUGGGACCGAUGCGGCUUUCGGGCUGCGUCGGUAUUCUGGAAAGAUGUCCAAACUGUAUCAUUUAGAGGAAGUAAAAGUCGUAACA